CUUGAAUCCACGCUGGUCUUGCGACUUGGCCAAUAGAACGUGGUGCAACCAAGUCCAGGCCUCAAGAGGCCCAGCACACUUCCAUUGCUCCCUUGGAAACCCGUCCAACCUGUGCUGUGAACAUGCCUGGGCCAGCCUCCCAGAGGAGGCGAGAAUGCAAAGCAGAAGGAGCCGUUCCCGCUGAGACCAUCGGGACCAGCUAGUGCCCAGAUGAGCCAGCAGCUCCCUCCAGAUGCAGGGGUGAGGCCCAUUUGAGGCCAGCUGAGCCCAGUCCAGAUCCAAAGAACCAUUCAGACCAUCCACAGACUUGAGUCUCCAGUGCCAACAGGGAUCUCCAGGGCAGCAGCAGGAAGUCCAGUCUAGCUGGCUCUGACCUCAGUGGCCAGCUGAGGAAAAUUUCUGGAACUGGGAAGUUCAAGGCUGAGGAGCUGCAUCUGGUGAGGGUCUUCUUGCUGGUGGCCUUCUUCUGCAGAGUCCUGAGGUGCUGCAGGGGAUCUUGUGGCAGAGUACUGCUGUGACAAACCACCACAAACCGUGUGGCCAACAACACAGAAAUUCAUCCUCUCAUGGCUCUGGGGGCCAGAAGUCCAAUGUCAAGGUGUCAGGUAGGCCGUGCCCCUCCACAAGCUCCGGGGAGGAUCUCCCCUUUUCUCUUCCGGCUUCUAGUGGCCCCGGGUGCUCCUUGGCUUGUGGCUGCAUCAGUCUGUUCUCUGCCUCCAUCUUCCCAAGCCCUCUCUCCUCUCACUUAUGAGUCUCUCCUCUGCGUAUCUCUAAUGAGGACAUUUAUUGCUAGAUUUAGGGCCCACCUGGAUAAUCCAAGAUGAUCUCAUCCUGGCACCCUUCACUGAAUUAUAUCUGCAGAGUCCUUGUUUUGCAAAUAGGGUCACACUCACAGGUUCUGGGCUUUAGAACAUGAACAUAUCCCUUGUGUUUGGGAAGGGAGCACUAUUCAGCCCUUUCUGGAGGGUUCUUAUGAACAGGUACCUGGCAAUGUCCUCAGAUGCUCAGUGAGGACGCACCUGAGGUUCCAGUCCUGACAGCAAAGGUGACCGCCCUGGACCUCAGUCAGCUCAUCUGCAGAAUGGCUAGGUGAGCUCAAGGGUUUCUUCCUUCUGGCACAUUCCCAGCGCAAAUCCUGUCGGUCCCUCGGCAUCUAUGCUGCUGAUUUGGGUCUACUCCAGGGCUUUACAAAUAUACAUAUCUCUAAGCAUAGAACAUAUAUUUUAUUGUAGUAAAAUACACAUAACAUAAAAUUCACCAUUUUAACCUUUUUGUUUUGUUUUGAGCCAGGGUCUCUCUCUGUCACCCAGGCUGGAGUGCAGUGGCACCAUCACGGCUCACUGCAGCCUCCACCCGCCUCAGCCUCCUGAGUAGUCAGGACCACAGGUAUGCAUCACCACACCCAGCUAACUCUUGUAUUUUUUUUUGUAGAGAUGAAGUCUCAUUAUGUUGCCCAGGCUGGUCUCAAACUCCUGGGCUCAAGCAAUCCACCUGCCUCAGCUUCCCGAAGUGGGAUUACAGGUGUGAGCCACCGUGCCUGGCCCCACUUUAACCAUUUUUAAGUGUGGAAUUCAGUGGCAUUAAGCACACUCAUAUGGUUGUGUAACCAUCACCAUUAUCCAUAUCAUCUUUCACAAAGAUGAAAUAAGAAGACUCAUUCUCAGGCCCCUCGGGCCUCAGAGUGUCCUUCAUGGGUAAAGCAUCUUAUAGAAGAUGCCUCUACUACAGAGCUCACUAUCCUGGUGGAGAUGUGAAGAUCAGGAUGUUAGAAAAGGAGGCAGACAGGACUGAGGAUGGUGGUGAAUCCAAAGCAAUACCCCCGGCUCCUCCUCCUGCAGGAUCUGCCCUGUCUUGUCACCAUGUCUUCUCCUUGCUGUCCACCCGUGUUCUUUUUUCCCCUCUAGACCAGAAGUUCUUAAAGCCUGGUCCCUGGACCAGCAACAUCAGUACCUCCUGGGAGCUUGUUAGAAAAGCAGAUUUUCUGUGCUCACCCCUACCCACUGAAUCAGAAAUGAGGGUGAGGUGUGGUGGCUGUUUCACAGCCCUCCCGGGAUUCUGAUCCAUGCUAAAGAGUGGGAAGCACUGCUCCGGAUCUGCAGAGAAAUCCUGCUUUCAAAGAACUCACUAACGCCCCUACAAAACUACAAUUUUUAUGACUAGAAGCUCUGUGAAUACCUUAAACAAGGAAGCUGACAGAUUUAGUAAGAUCGCGUAGGUCAUGAUCGCAAAUGGGCUGCCCAAGGGCACGUCUUUCCCUUGGGUUUGUGCAUUUGUCCUGCACACAAUUAAAAACAUUUAACUAGUUGCCAGUAUUAAAGAAAUAGAAACUUCCACGUAGAAAUUCAGAUUUUGGCAUUAUUUGAAAUAAUACUGUCUGGCAGUCCUGAUAUGUCUUGGCCUAGGUCCAAGCAUGGGCCACCAUGACUCGAUGCAGGGACUGCCAGGCAGCCCAAGUCCCCCUACGCCCCAAGGCAAGUCCGCCUGGUGAGCCCACCCCCCCAUUUUUAUCUGCACUGACUGCUGUAGGGCUUUCGAGUUGUCAACCUCUGUAUGUGAAGGGGGACCACAAACUGUAGCCCUCUGUGAUUGUUAAUGUUAUAUGUCAGCUUGGCUAGGCCACGGCAUCCAAAUAUUUGGUCAAACACUAGUCUAGAUGUUGUGAAGGUAAUUUCUUUUAGGUGAGAGUAACAGUUAUAUCAGUGGACUUUGAUGAAAGCAGAUUGCCCUCCAUAAUGUGGGUGGGCCUCAUCCAAUCAGUUGAAGGCCUUCAAAGAAAAAAGACUGACUCCCUGCAGGAAGAGGGAGUUCUGCCAGCCUCCACGGUCACAUAAGCCAAUUCCUUAAAAUAAGCCCCUCUCUCUCUCUCUCUCCUCCUCUCUCCACACAUGCAUACAAAACACACACACACACACACACACACACACACACACACACAAAUGGUUCUAUGUCUCUGUAGAAUCCUGACGAACAACCCAUGCUGUGAGUAUUAUUAUUUGUUGGUGACCCUGGACCAUUCAGGCACCAAGAGGUGCAGGAACUCUUCUUCCGUUUGCUGGCAGCUCUUAGGGAUACACGCUCAUUCAAACCAUGCCCUCAGAGAUGGAGGCUGCAAAGCUAAUGAGUAGUAUUAUAAUAUUAAUAACAAGAAAUAAAUAAUC
rnacentral:lncRNA from 10 species